rnacentral:lncRNA from 1 species
AUGUCCCCAAAAUUCACCUGGGACCCCCAAAACCUCACCUGGGACCCCCCAAAAUCCACCUGGGAGCCCCAAAACCUCACCUGGGACCCCCUCAAAAUCCACCUGGGAACCCAAAACUCACCUGGGACCCCCAAAACUCACCUGGGGGACCUCAAACCCCACCUGGGACCCCCCAAAACCUCACCCGGGAUCCCCCCAAAAUCCACCUGGGACACCCCAAAACUCACCUGGGACACCCCAAAAUCCACCUGGGAACCCCCAAAAUCCACCUGGGACCCCCAAAACCCACCUGGGACCAACCAAAAUCCACCUGGGGGACCCCAGAAUCCACCUGAGAGACCCCAAAACCUCACCUGGGAGACCCCAAAAUCCACCCGGGGGACCCCCAAAACCUCACCCGGGACCCCCCAAAAUCCACCUGGGAACCCAAAACUCACCCGGGAGCCCCAAAACCUCACCUGGGGGACCUCAAACCCCACCUGGGACCCCCCAAAAUCCACCUGGGAACCCAAAAUCCACCUGGGAGCCCCAAAACCUCACCGGGGAUCCCCCCAAAAUCCACCUGGGACCCCCCAAAAUUCACCUGGGAACCCAAAACUCACCUGGGAGCCCCAAAAUCCCCCUGGGAACCCCAAAAUCCACCUGGGGGACCCCAAAACCUCACCUGGGACCCCCCAAAAUCCCCCUGGGAUCAACCAAAAUCCCCCUGGGAACCCCAAAAUCCACCCGGGACUCCCAAAACCUCACCUGGGACCCCCCAAAAUCCACCUGGGACCCCCAAAACCCACCUGGGGGACCUCAAACCCCACCUGGGACCCCCCAAAACCUCACCUGGGACCCCCCAAAAUCCAUCUGGGACCCCCAAAAUCCACCUGGGAACCCAAAAUCCACCUGGGAGCCCCCAAAACCUCACCUGGGAGCCCCAAAAUCCCCCUGGGAACCCCAAAAUCCACCUGGGGGACCCCAAAACCUCACCUGGGACCCCCCAAAAUCCCCCUGGGAACCCCAAAAUCCACCUGGGAACCCCAAACCUCACUUGGGACCCCCAAACCUCACUUGGGACCCCCAAAACCUCACCUGGGACCCCUCAAACCUCACCUGGGGCCCCCAAACCUCACCUGGGGGACCCGAGAAUCCACCCGGGGGACCCCCAAAACCUCACCUGGGACCCCCCCAAAUCCACCUGGGAACCCAAAACCUCAUCUGGGACCCCCCCAAAAUCCACCUGGGACCCCCAAAACCCACCUGGGGGACCUCAAACCCCACCUGGGACCCCCCAAAAUCCACCCGGGGGACCCCCAAAAUCCACCUGGGACCCCCAAAAUCCACCUGGGGGACCUCAAACCCCACCUGGGACCCCCCAAACCUCAACUGGGACCCCCCAAAAUCCACCUGGGAACCCAAAAUCCACCUGGGAGCCCCAAAACCUCACCUGGGACCCCCCCAAAAUGCACCUGGGACCCCCAAAAUCCACCUGGGAACCCAAAAUCCACCUGGGAGCCUCCAAAACCUCACCCGGGAUCCCCCAAAAUCCACCUGGGACUCCCAAAACCCACCUGGGAGCCUCCAAAACCUCACCUGGGAUCCCCCCAAAAUCCACCUGGGACUCCCAAAACCCACCUGGGACCCCCAAAAUCCACCUGGGGGACCCCAGAAUCCACCUGA